rfam:Felis catus isolate Cinnamon breed Abyssinian chromosome A2, whole genome shotgun sequence.
GCCUGGGUGGCUCAGUCGGUUGGGCGUCUGACUUCGGCUCAGGUCACGAUCUCGCGGUCCGUGAGUUCGAGCCCCGCGUCGGGCU